rnacentral:rRNA from 1 species
CAGUAGCCGCGGUAAUACGAAGGGUGCAAGCGUUAAUCGGAAUUACUGGGCGUAAAGCGCGCGUAGGUGGUUUGGUAAGAUGGAUGUGAAAUCCCCGGGCUCAACCUGGGAACUGCAUCCAUAACUGCCUGACUAGAGUACGGUAGAGGGUGGUGGAAUUUCCUGUGUAGCGGUGAAAUGCGUAGAUAUAGGAAGGAACACCAGUGGCGAAGGCGACCACCUGGACUGAUACUGACACUGAGGUGCGAAAGCGUGGGGAGCAAACAGGAUUAGAUACCCCAGUAGUCCCUGUCUUUUAUAC